GCGGUGGGCCUGGCAGGGACGAUCAUCCCUGUGGGGAGGAGAACCUCUCAGGCCUGGCCCUGGAGCUGGCUGUGCAUGUACAACUGGGCGUGUGUACAAAUAGCAAAGUACUGUCUGGACUGCAUGCACACUUUGACAACCAGACCAGUCCUAGGGAAUGUCCUUCUGAUAGGACUUUUAGAGAUGCCUCGUUGAUUUUUCCCUUGAACUGCUGCUUGGUGUGGCUUCUAAGGUUCUUGUUGGAUUGUUUGUUUGUGUGUGUGACAAGUUCUGAGUGGUUGUGGCACGGCACACAGCAUGAGAGCUGCUGGCACAUUUUGUUUCCCUUUAGGAACCGGUUCCACAUUCAAUUUGGGUGGUGGGGAGUGAUCAGGCCCAGAGCUCUUUGCAUCGGGUCUGGAGGGGUUUCAGGUAUCAGGGCUAGGCGGUUCCUCACGGGGAUAGGGGGACGGGCUUCUGUAUCCCUCUGUCUGGAGCGCCUGCUAAUGCCUGUCCCUGUUGCAGCCGCCAUGCAGUACCUGGCUGACAAGUUGCAGACCCUUUGAAGUUGAGCCCAGCGUCUUCCUGCAAGAGGAGCAGCUGUUUGGGGCCCUGGAGCUGUGGCCAAGCUCGUUCCCUCCUGUUCUGCCUCAGCUAGGGCUUCCUCUCCCCCCUGUUUUGCCCCCGCCCCGCCCCAGUUUCACAGCAGUUUCCAAUUAAAGUACCUCUCAUAUUCUG